GACGAACGCUGGCGGCGUGCCUAAUACAUGCAAGUAGGACGCAGUUGCGAACUGGUGAGUAACGCGUAGGUAACUACCUAUCUGAGGGGGAUAAUUACUGGAAACGAUAGCUACUACCGCAUACUAUUAGAUGGACCUUCGUUGUAUUAGCUACUAGGUAGGGUAAUGGCCUACCAAGGCAAAGAUACAUCGCCGAGGUGAGAAGGUGAUCCGCCACACUUGGAAUGGGACACGGGCCAGACUCCGACGGGAGGGAGCAGUUGGGAAUCUUCGGCAAUGGGGGGAACCCUGAACGAGGAACGCCGCGGGAGUGAAGAAGGUUUUCGGAUCGGAAAGGUCUGUUGGUAAGGAAACGGUACUUAACGAGAAAGGAACGGCUAACUACGUGCCAGCAGCCGCGGUAAUAC
rnacentral:rRNA from 1 species